UACGAAAGGUGCGAGCGUUAAUCGGAAUUACUGGGCGUAAAGCGCGCGUAGGCGGUUUGUUAAGUCAGAUGUGAAAGCCCCGGGCUCAACCUGGGAAUUGCAUUUGAAACUGGCAGGCUAGAAUGCAGUAGAGGGAGGUGGAAUUUCCGGUGUAGCGGUGAAAUGCGUAGAGAUCGGAAGGAACACCAGUGGCGAAGGCGGCCUCCUGGACUGACAUUGACGCUGAGGUGCGAAAGCGUGGGGAGCAAACAGG
rnacentral:rRNA from 1 species